GCAUGCAUCUGUCAGCCUAAAAAUAUGUUAGACUUAUAUAUAUCUUCCUGAUUCAUUAAUGGUUGUGUGUAUUUAAAUCUGAUUAUAGCUUCCUGGUUUUAUGCGAUUCAUUUUAUGAUGGAAACCAAGAAGGGAUUUUCUGGAUGGGCGGUAAAAGCCAGACAUAAAAAUGGAACUCCACCCACAAUAUUGGCCAUAAAAUUCGCGAUAGUAAUCCGGUGUAAUUUCGGAAUCAACACAUAAAUCAGAGAGAUGUACAUAAGUAUGUACGCAGAGACAUGGAACGUAUGUAUGUACCGGGAAGUGUGUACAUAUGUAUGCGCGACUACUUUUGUUUAGCCCCAAUUAAAAUCUCACCCCAUUGCCGUAAUCUUUGGGCGUUACCUAUAUAGUUCGAGUGCUACUGUAUCUAAGAACUAUUCAACCGUCUUGUUUACCACCAUAUCAAAUGAUAAUUCUAGUUUCCAACUUAAUGUAAUACACUUCAUUCACAUUUGCAAAAACAACACAAAAAAAUGAGACAUUGCAAUUUGUUGACACCCACAAACGGUUCUUGAUGUACGUAUGUAUGUACCACUUAUGCAGUUCGUCUGGGUUUAUGUGUUAAAAAUUCGGGUAAGUCCAAUUUGAAACAUUACC